UUCCCCAAUAAGUAGUUGUAUAGUACAAUCAAAAUAUACUGUGAUUGCAAAUGAGAUGGAUGAUGAAUCAAUGUCCAACUGUAAUGAUGAUAAUAACGAAAAUCAAGAUGAGAAUAAUAUUAACCUUGAAUCUGUGGUGCUGCAAGAUGCUGAAAGAACAGCACCUGCAAUACGUGGUACACAGACAAUGAGACUUAGCUAUACCAAAAUUGCAUCAACUAAUUCUCAUUCGCAGUCAGACACUAGUUCAGACAGACACAAUUCUUAAAUAUUAACAACAAAUUGUUCGUAAACAAAAUAUUCUACAGUCCAUGAUGAUGGACAUCAGCAACCAAACUAACGAAAAAAAUACUCAAGUAGCAGCAGAAGAUAUUCAAGGGGUUGAUUCUCUCUUUACUAACAUUGCUAACUUGCCAGUCAACACAAUGCCACAAUUAGAAGAAUUAGAAAAUUAUCUUUCUACUUCAGAAAAACUGGAUAAAGCGGCAAAAGAAAUUUCGCAAAUUGGUGGAGCAAACUUAUACGAAUUUAUUUCUCGGUCCUGUCAAAAACUAAUCACAAAUCAGUUGUGGUGAGACAUUCAGUUUUUUAGGCAGAAGAC